rnacentral:misc_RNA from 1 species
AAUUAAAAAAAAAAAAAGCUAAAAGGAAAACAAAAUAAUUCUUUAACAAAGCUGUUUGAUAAAAUUUUAUUGUAUGGGUGUAUGCCUUGCAGCAAAAAAUCAGGGAUAGAUAUGCUUAAAAGAAAAGAAAAAAAACAAAAACCUUGUCCUACACUCCUACCAUGAUCCCUGCCUUAAGUUCCAUCCAGUAGUGUUAUGCUAAUAUGAUGUCUAGGGAAAGUAUCUGUGUGACAUUUUAAAAUUGCAACUAGUUUUAAUUGGAAAUUCAGUAGGAGUGUGACUGAAAUUGUAUCAAUGAUGCUUGUGAAUUUCUUUCAUUUUUCCCUAAGAUGCUUAAAUAACCAUCGAAUUCUUUUUUAAUUAGUAGUUAAUCAUAGGAACAGCUAUGUUGAAUUGUUGUUUUGUAGAUGGGGGAUGACAUUGUG